rnacentral:rRNA from 2 species
GGGUUGUGAGGUUAAGCGACUAAGCGUACACGGUGGAUGCCCUGGCAGUCAGAGGCGAUGAAGGACGUGCUAAUCUGCGAUAAGCGCCGGUAAGGUGAUAUGAACCGUUAUAACCGGCGAUUUCCGAAUGGGGAAACCCAGUGUGACUCGUCACACUAUCAUUAACUGAAUCCAUAGGUUAAUGAGGCGAACCGGGGGAACUGAAACAUCUAAGUACCCCGAGGAAAAGAAAUCAACCGAGAUUCCCCCAGUAGCGGCGAGCGAACGGGGAGGAGCCCAGAGCCUGAAUCAGCAUGUGUGUUAGUGGAAGCGUCUGGAAAGGCGCGCGAUACAGGGUGACAGCCCCGUACACAAAAGCGCAUGUGCUGUGAGCUCGAUGAGUAGGGCGGGACACGUGGUAUCCUGUCUGAAUAUGGGGGGACCAUCCUCCAAGGCUAAAUACUCCUGACUGACCGAUAGUGAACCAGUACCGUGAGGGAAAGGCGAAAAGAACCCCGGCGAGGGGAGUGAAAAAGAACCUGAAACCGUGUACGUACAAGCAGUGGGAGCACCCUUUGGGGUGUGACUGCGUACCUUUUGUAUAAUGGGUCAGCGACUUAUAUUCUGUAGCAAGGUUAACCGUAUAGGGGAGCCGUAGGGAAACCGAGUCUUAACCGGGCGUUAAGUUGCAGGGUAUAGACCCGAAACCCGGUGAUCUAGCCAUGGGCAGGUUGAAGGUUGGGUAACACUAACUGGAGGACCGAACCGACUAAUGUUGAAAAAUUAGCGGAUGACCUGUGGCUGGGGGUGAAAGGCCAAUCAAACCGGGAGAUAGCUGGUUCUCCCCGAAAGCUAUUUAGGUAGCGCCUCGUGAAUUCAUCUCCGGGGGUAGAGCACUGUUUCGGCUAGGGGGCCAUCCCGGCUUACCAACCCGAUGCAAACUGCGAAUACCGGAGAAUGUUAUCACGGGAGACACACGGCGGGUGCUAACGUCCGUCGUGAAGAGGGAAACAACCCAGACCGCCAGCUAAGGUCCCAAAGUCAUGGUUAAGUGGGAAACGAUGUGGGAAGGCCCAGACAGCCAGGAUGUUGGCUUAGAAGCAGCCAUCAUUUAAAGAAAGCGUAAUAGCUCACUGGUCGAGUCGGCCUGCGCGGAAGAUGUAACGGGGCUAAACCAUGCACCGAAGCUGCGGCAGCGACGCUGAUGCGUUGUUGGGUAGGGGAGCGUUCUGUAAGCCUGCGAAGGUGACCUGUGAGGGUUGCUGGAGGUAUCAGAAGUGCGAAUGCUGACAUAAGUAACGAUAAAGCGGGUGAAAAGCCCGCUCGCCGGAAGACCAAGGGUUCCUGUCCAACGUUAAUCGGGGCAGGGUGAGUCGACCCCUAAGGCGAGGCCGAAAGGCGUAGUCGAUGGGAAACGGGUUAAUAUUCCCGUACUUGGUGUUACUGCGAAGGGGGACGGAGAAGGCUAUGUUGGCCGGGCGACGGUUGUCCCGGUUUAAGCGUGUAGGUGUGUGUUCCAGGUAAAUCCGGUUCACUUUAACACUGAGGCGUGACGACGAGGCACUACGGUGCUGAAGCAACAAAUGCCCUGCUUCCAGGAAAAGCCUCUAAGCAUCAGGUAACAUCAAAUCGUACCCCAAACCGACACAGGUGGUCAGGUAGAGAAUACCAAGGCGCUUGAGAGAACUCGGGUGAAGGAACUAGGCAAAAUGGUGCCGUAACUUCGGGAGAAGGCACGCUGACACGUAGGUGAAGUGAUUUACUCAUGGAGCUGAAGUCAGUCGAAGAUACCAGCUGGCUGCAACUGUUUAUUAAAAACACAGCACUGUGCAAACACGAAAGUGGACGUAUACGGUGUGACGCCUGCCCGGUGCCGGAAGGUUAAUUGAUGGGGUCAGCGCAAGCGAAGCUCCUGAUCGAAGCCCCGGUAAACGGCGGCCGUAACUAUAACGGUCCUAAGGUAGCGAAAUUCCUUGUCGGGUAAGUUCCGACCUGCACGAAUGGCGUAAUGAUGGCCAGGCUGUCUCCACCCGAGACUCAGUGAAAUUGAACUCGCUGUGAAGAUGCAGUGUACCCGCGGCAAGACGGAAAGACCCCGUGAACCUUUACUAUAGCUUGACACUGAACAUUGAGCCUUGAUGUGUAGGAUAGGUGGGAGGCUUUGAAGUGUGGACGCCAGUCUGCAUGGAGCCGACCUUGAAAUACCACCCUUUAAUGUUUGAUGUUCUAACGUGGACCCGUUACCCGGGUUGCGGACAGUGUCUGGUGGGUAGUUUGACUGGGGCGGUCUCCUCCUAAAGAGUAACGGAGGAGCACGAAGGUUGGCUAAUCCUGGUCGGACAUCAGGAGGUUAGUGCAAUGGCAUAAGCCAGCUUGACUGCGAGCGUGACGGCGCGAGCAGGUGCGAAAGCAGGUCAUAGUGAUCCGGUGGUUCUGAAUGGAAGGGCCAUCGCUCAACGGAUAAAAGGUACUCCGGGGAUAACAGGCUGAUACCGCCCAAGAGUUCAUAUCGACGGCGGUGUUUGGCACCUCGAUGUCGGCUCAUCACAUCCUGGGGCUGAAGUAGGUCCCAAGGGUAUGGCUGUUCGCCAUUUAAAGUGGUACGCGAGCUGGGUUUAGAACGUCGUGAGACAGUUCGGUCCCUAUCUGCCGUGGGCGCUGGAGAACUGAGGGGGGCUGCUCCUAGUACGAGAGGACCGGAGUGGACGCAUCACUGGUGUUCGGGUUGUCAUGCCAAUGGCACUGCCCGGUAGCUAAAUGCGGAAGAGAUAAGUGCUGAAAGCAUCUAAGCACGAAACUUGCCCCGAGAUGAGUUCUCCCUGAGACUUAGAGUCUCCUGAAGGAACGUUGAAGACGACGACGUUGAUAGGCCGGGUGUGUAAGCGCAGCGAUGCGUUGAGCUAACCGGUACUAAUGAACCGUGAGGCUUAACCUUACAACGCCGAAG